ACACUGAAUAUGUUGGAGUUGGGU
rnacentral:siRNA from 1 species